GACGAACGCUGGCGGCGUGCUUAACACAUGCAAGUCGAACGGGAGUAUUGAAGAAGCUUGCUUUAGAGAUACUUUAGUGGCGGACGGGUGAGUAACGCGUGAGGAGCUGUCCAAUGCAGGGGGACAACAGUUGGAAACGACUGCUAAUACCCCAUAAGCCGAGAGAUAAAAGGAUUUAUCCGGCAAUGGAGGUACUCGCGUCCUAUCAGCUAGUAGGUGAGAUAACGGCUCACCUAGGCGAAGACGGGUAGCCGGCCUGAGAGGGCGAACGGCCACACUGGAACUGAGAUACGGUCCAGACUCCUACGGGAGGCAGCAGUGGGGAAUAUUGGGCAAUGGGGGGAACCCUGACCCAGCGACGCCGCGUGGGUGAAGAAAUCCUUCGGGAUGUAAAGCCCUGUUGUAUGGGAAGAGCGGAAGACGGUACCAUACGAGGAAGCCCCGGCAAACUACGUGCCAGCCGCCGCAGUAA
rnacentral:rRNA from 1 species